AACGAACGCUGGCGGCAUGCCUAACACAUGCAAGUCGAACGAGACCUUCGGGUCUAGUGGCGCACGGGUGCGUAACGCGGGGGAACCUGCCCUUAGGUUCGGAAUAACUCCCCGAAAGGGGUGCUAAUACCGGAUAAUGUCUUCGGACCAAAGAUUUAUCGCCUUUGGAUGGGCCCGCGUUGGAUUAGCUAGUUGGUAGGGUAAAAGCCUACCAAGGCGACGAUCCAUAGCUGGUCUGAGAGGAUGAUCAGCCACACUGGGACUGAGACACGGCCCAGACUCCUACGGGAGGCAGCAGUGGGGAAUAUUGGACAAUGGGCGAAAGCCUGAUCCGGCAAUGCCGCGUGAGUGAUGAAGGCCUUAGGGUUGUAAAGCUCUUUUACCCGGGAUGAUAAUGACAGUACCGGGAGAAUAAGCGCCGGCUAACUCCGUG
rnacentral:rRNA from 1 species